AGCAAAGUAAACUAAUUUAAGUUAUUGGGCUCAUAACCCAAGUAUGCUUGUGUUACAAGCCUUUGUGU
rnacentral:tRNA from 1 species